ACUUCAAAAAUCAAACCCAGCUCUUCCUCCUCCCCCUCCUCAUCUCUCUCUCUCUGUCAAAUUCGUUAUGCAGAUGAUUUUGGCUGGAUCAAGAGUUUCAGAAGAUAAUAGCAGCUGAAAGUUAGAUUUUACAUGUUCAAAAUUGAAGCCUCCUUUAGAUCCUGGAUUAGGGUGGUAAAGUAAGGAGCUAGGGUUCGAUGAUUUGGUUGCUUGGGGAAGCUAGGGUUCCAUUUGGGCUUCGUAUCUUUUAAGGGUCUAUGUCAUUCGAGCUUUACGGGUUCGUCUUAGGCGUAGUGAGUAAUCGAUGUACAGAAGAAGUGAGUACGGGUAGCGACAGGGGAACUAGGGUUCCGAUGACAACAAGAUGCAACGAUGGUUGAACGGUAGCGGUGACAACUCAGGGUGUUUAAACUUAGGGUUCCAGCAAAAAAUGGAGAUGGUUACAAGUUCCGUUGGUGAUUGUGUUAAGAUUCUACAGCUAUUAGAGGAGAUGAGGACGGACCUUCCAACCAAGCUCCGGCGAAGAUUUUGGCAACUCUGGUAAGGAAGUUCUAUCGUGCUUUCCUUCUA